CUUUGCCAAACUCUCUUGUUUAUUUCAUAAUUAUAACAUCUUUAUGUUCGUUGACUAUACAAUAUGAAAAUUCACAGGAAGAGGGUUUAAAAACAAUAGUAUCAAAGUAGCAACGCCAGACAGCAGGAGACCAGUAUGUUCCCUUGAAACUCAGGGCUGAAUUUGCAGAACAAUUAAUUAUGAUUUCUGACCUACUGUUUAAAAUAUUAUUGCUUUUUUUUUUUUUUUUUCUUUUUUUCCUUUUAAAUGGAUGAGAAGUGGCAACAGUUUAUAAUAAUGGGCUACACAGAGUUCACGGAACUGUGGAAGCAGUUGUAUUGUAUUGUUUUUCUACUGAAAAAAUCAGUAGAAGCUGUAACGAAUGCCAGAGUUAAUAGAGACGUGAGAUACGAUGUAAGGCGGAAGAGGUGAAAACAGAUUCUGUAGUCUGAAGUCAUUCCUCAAAGCUAUUUCAGCUCUUUGAAGUUCCAGCGUUGUGACUGAUUUUGGGCAUCUGUCUGCGAGUGUUUGUUCCCACUUCUGCCAGGGGACUCCCACAUGCAGCUCCUGCCUUCUCCCCUGUGUGUUUUCUUUUCACCUCCCUCACAGAAGCCACUUUUCCUGAGAAAUGGGAAAACCAUCAGCAUGUCCUCUUGCCCUGAGGGCUAUUGGUUGGUUGUCUUUGCUUUUUGAAGGAAGAAAUGCUGGUCUGUGUCAGAAGGAAGGUGUUUGGAAGACAGUCAGACUGGGGACCUGGGCAGAAUGGUCCUUCAAAUGGAUUUCUCUUGAAGCAAGUAUCAGCCUCCUGAAUCAUCCUCAGGUAUCACUUGGAAAUUUCCAUCCUAAGCCAUUCCCAGGCACGGUGUACAUGAAGUGACAGAAGAGAAGAAAUGGGAGAACGUGUGGAGAAUGGCCUUCAGUACUGUGACAGCCAUCUCACUCUCUCCUCAGGCCCUCAGAAGGUUUGGGGAAAUUGGCUGCAGGACAUUAUAAACAGACUUUGCAAGAUCUGCAGGCCACACUUUCCUUUGAAGAUUUCUGUGAAAACAAUCCCUGAAACAUUGGGAUAUGUUGAAUGUCAGUUAUGAUUUAUGAAAUGAGACUUCAAGCCUUAUUUCCUUUUGUUACUGAGUAAAAGUUUUUCAAAUGCUUAUUAAUAUAACCUGAGGAUCAAGAAGGAAAACAAUGAAUCACUUGCAAAGAAGAAAUGAAUUCUCCAAGAGAAUCCUAAAAAAGAAGCAUUCAUCAGUCGUGCGUCUUCAUUUAUCUCCCCGGGCUGAGCUGCAGUCCCAUCUGUGUGACUGAUGCUGACUCUGAACAGCUCCUUCUCCACCUCCUGCCUGUCCUUUCCCUGGUUAGUCACACUUCCCACUUGGAGAAAACGACAAUCUCGAGCUCCUUAGAGGCGACACAACUCAGUUUCUCUAUCUUCCCCUAUUACCAUUCAUACUCUGGCCAGUUCAAAGAGUGAACACAAAUCAAUACCCUCAGCU
rnacentral:lncRNA from 1 species